ACUUCGGAAAGGAGGUGGUUCGGCAGAUGUAUGCAUACCGGACGGAAGAGGUGGCUGCGGGCUAGCGGUCCGCCGUCAGACUCGGUUCGGCGCCGGACCAGCGUGUGCGCGACACACGCAGCCGGCCAGUUCCACGCAGUCACCCGACCCGCGAGUCGCCGGUACGUCCGGCCGGCUCCUCCCCCGGGAGGAACCAGACUCGCGGGUCGCUGCAU
rnacentral:sRNA from 1 species